GGGGGGGGGGGGGGGGGGGGGGGGGGCGGGGGGGGGGGGGGGGGGGGCGCUGCGGGGGGGGGGGGCGCGGGGGGCGGGCGGGUGGGUGGCGCGUGGGGAGCCUGCCCGUGAGUUUGGGAGAGCCUCGGGAACCUGGGGCUAAUGCCGGAUAGGAGCUCCGGCUGCAUGGGGUGGGCUGGACAGCUCCGGCGGUUGGGGAUGGCCUCGCGGCUCAUAUGCUUGCUGGUGGGGUAGUGGCGUCCCACGGCUUUGACGGGUCGCCGGCCUGAGAGGGUGACCGGCCACAUUGGGACUGAGGUACGGCCCAGAGGCCUACGGGAGGCAGCAGGGGGGAAUAUUGCACAAUGGGCGGAAGCCGGAUGCAGCAACGCCGCGGGCGGGAUGACGGCCUUCGGGGUGGAAACCGCUUUCGCCUGGGACGAAGCGGGAGUGACGGUAAUGGGUAAAGAAGCACCGGCUAACUACGUG
rnacentral:rRNA from 1 species